UAAGCGGAGGAAAAGAAACUAACAAGGAUUCCCCUAGUAACGGCGAAGUGAAGCGGGAAGAGCUCAAAUUUGAAAUCUGGUAGCCUUCGGUUGCCCGAGUUGUAAUCUAGAGAAGUGUUUUCCGCGUUGGCCCAUGUACAAGUCCCUUGGAACAGGGCGUCAUAGAGGGUGAGAAUCCCGUCCUUGACCAUGGACCCCCAAUGCUUUGUGAUACACUUUCAACGAGUCGAGUUGUUUGGGAAUGCAGCUCAAAAUGGGUGGUGAAUUCCAUCUAAAGCUAAAUAUUGGCGAGAGACCGAUAGCGAACAAGUACCGUGAGGGAAAGAUGAAAAGCACUUUGGAAAGAGAGUUAAACCAGUACGUGAAAUUGUUGAAAGGGAAACGAUUGAAGUCCAGUCCAUGCUCUUUGGAUUAAGCCGUUCUGCGGUGUAUUUCCAUUGAGCGGGGUCAACAUCCAGUUUUGAUCGCUGGAAAAGGGCCAGGAGGAAGGUAGCACUCUCGGGUGAACUUAUAGCCUCUUGUCGUAUACCAGUGAUUGGGACUGAGGAACGCAGCCAUGCCUUUUGGCCGGGAUUCGUCCACGUACAUGCUUAGGAUGUUGACAUAAUGGCUUUAACCGACCCGUCUUGAAACACG
rnacentral:rRNA from 1 species